AAUACCUUUAUCAAGAGUAGUCUUACAAGAUGUCAAAUGGCAUGAUUUUGUGUUGUUCAGUUCCACCACUUUCUACUUAUAGCAUUAGUUUUAUGUGGGUAGAAAAACCCAUUUUGAGAAGCACUGAAGGUAAGAAUCGUAGGAAAAGAACAGGGUUUUGAUUGGGAACUCCAUUAGCAACUCUUUUUUUUUGACUUUGGAAACCUGGGCAAUAAAGCUAAAUCCGAAGUGAGCUUUUUGAGUGGUCUGAGUUGCUAGCUAGGUUCUGUAGGGAGGACAGAAGGCAGAAUUGCUGACCUGAAGGUUGGGUUGCUGACCUGAAGGUUGGUAGUUCGAAUCCAUGAGAUGGGAUGAGCUCCUGUCUGUCAGCCCUAGCUUGCUGGGACAUGAGAAAGGCCUCCCAGCAGGAUGGUAACAUAUCUGGGCAUCCCCUGGGCAACGUCUCUGUAGAUGGCCAAUUCUUUCACACCAGGAGUGACUUGCAGUAUGUUCUCUAGUCGCUUCUGACAUGAUUUAAAAAACUCUGCAUGAAUAUUAUGCAUGAAAAAUGUGCAAUUUCCUCCAUGGAAAUGAAAUUCAUGCCAGAAAAUCAUCUUCUGGGAAGUGUUGUUGAGAAAUUAUUUGAUACAGGAUUCACAAGAAUGCUCAUUUCAUUUGCCAAGUGUAAGGUGGCUUACCUCAAUGGCAAAACUCAAGAGUUUAAUGUUCAGUUAAAAACAUUUAUUCAUCAUUGCAGGAUUUUUAAAAAGAUCAAAUCAUCUAACUCAUAUCUUAGCCAUAUGUUUCAGAGAUAAAUAUGUUCAAAAAGUGCACCAUACACUUCUUGUCUGACAAAAGAUGCUGGAACAGUGAGCAGAGUGAAAAAUUGUGUUGAUGCUGAUUGAUUUGGGGUAUGCUUCCACUACACUUUUAAUAUUCUUACGAUAUUAGGUAUUUGUUAUCUGUUGGGCAUGUAUGGAGAGAAUAGAGCUGAGGGUGCUCACUGCUUAUCAUCACCCUUAUCUAGUGCAUGAAUGUUGAAAAAGAAGCUGGGUAUGACAUAAGAGAAAUAGCUUUGCUGUGCCAUUUCCCUGACCUUCUAUGGAUAUUGAUCCCCUGCAUUCUCAAAUCCUUAUUAACAAACAAAGAUGCUACUAAGGAUCAAAACUCAAACUAUUUUAAAAACUAAAUGUGUCUGACUCAGAUAGGCAUGUGUGAUGUUCUGCAUUCUGUAUAAAUGUUACUGCAUAUGUGAAUUAUGAUGAGUUAUGAUCUAUAUAUGAAUGUGAAUAUAUUUAUUUAUAGUACAACUUCUGUUAUGAGAGAAUGUAUUUAGAAUGUUGGAGGUAACUGGUUGAAAGUUUGAAAGAGAAACUGGAGAUAUUUAAUUGGAUAGUAUCAAAUAUGUCCUAUUUCCAUGUAUGGUUGUGAAAGCUGGACAAUGAACUGUUUAAUUCAUUUGAACUGUAGUGCUGGAGGAGAAUGUGUGGAUACCCUGGACUGUCAAAAAGCCAAAACGGAUCCAAGAGCAAAUCAAGUCUGAAUACUCCCUAAAAGCAAAAUAACUGAUAGUGUUGUACUUUGGACACAUCAUGAGAACAUAAAAAAGGCAAUAAUUCUUGGCAAGAUGCAAAAAAGUUGAGACAGAAAAAGACAUAGGCAGAUAAACUCAAUCAACAAGGAGGCCAUGGUCCUGAUUUUAUGGUAUCUGAAUUGGGCUAUUUAUGUCAGGAUAACCUGGAGGUCUCCCAUCCAUAGGUUAACCAAAAACUAAAGUUAGCCUGAUGGCAGGUAUAACAGACACCCCUCAUUCUACACUCUUCACAUAUGCAAGCACCCUUAUGUGAGAGGCGAGGGAUGUCAGUUUGAUUUUAGAUUUUCUUUUAAAAUGGUAGCUGCCACCAACCUAAAAUGUUUUUAGUUUUUUGUUGUUAAAUGUACUUGAGAUAAGUUUAUCCCAUUCCCUGCCCACACUGUUUCAACCCCCUUGUUCCCAAACUGAUGUUUAUUAUGAGACUUUUCUGUGGUAUUUAAUUGUUGUAUUGCUAGAACAAUUAUAAAGGCUUCUUAAAAGAAAGAUAUACUGUGGAGGCUUUUGAAAGUUGAAAAUAAAAUAAAAAAUUAUUUUCUUAAAACAGGCAAAUAAUUACUUCAGAGAGAUACAUAAGCGUAAAUGGUUACAGAAGUUCUUCAGCUAAACUUAGUUGUAUGUUUCAGAUUACUUCACUUAGUUUCAAACAGUUCCAAUCAAACCAAACUAUCUAUUGGUCACAGAAACCCUCACUCUAUUUGCUGAGAAUAGUCAUGAGUUCAACUAACCUAAUCUAGAUAGCCCACUGGGUUGUUAACUAACUCUAACCUAGAGUCCUUCUAUUAACCAGCCCAGUAGUGAGAGUCAAUCUCUUGAAUUAUCUUCCCCCAAGAGGUCCAAACUGCCUGACCUAUCCUGUCAGUUUCACAGCUCUCAGUUCUCUCACACACAACCAAAACUCCAAACUGUUCUUUCCUCUCCAAAACCCAAAACCGAACUGCCUUGGAGCUCUUUUUUUCUCUGCACUCUAAGACUUGGUUCCUCCCAUCUGCUCUGGCCAAUCUUAGGAUUCUCUCUCUAAGCUUCUCCCUCUUUUUAACCACACUCAAGAUGGAUGCCUGGCAUUCCUCUACAAAAUGGAGGCCUGCCUGUUACCCAGGCUUCAUUCCCGGCCUAAUAGGCACAAAAGGGCCCAGUUUGAGUCACGUGAGGCCCUGCCUGCACCUCAUCACCUCAGGAACAACAAGGAAGACAGAACAAGACUUAUGGAUUCCAAGUUAUUGUAGAUGAAAGAACUGAACAUACAUCCAGAUGAAAGGACUGAACUCUACAUAGAAGAGGCAGUAUGUCAUUUUCUUAUUCCUGCACCCUAAUCUAUUCAAAUGGCAUUUGAUUAUAUUUACUAGCUUAAAUGUUGUUUGUCUGAAUACAAGGAUGGCGUUUUCUGAGCAUAACCCAUAUGCUUCUUCAAUUAUAUUUGGAUGCACCAACCUUUGGUAUUGAGAAAUAAAUAACUCUACAAUUA